rnacentral:rRNA from 1 species
GGAGCCGAAGGGAAACCGAGUCUUAACUGGGCGUUAAGUUGCAGGGUAUAGACCCGAAACCCGGUGAUCUAGCCAUGGGCAGGUUGAAGGUUGGGUAACACUAACUGGAGGACCGAACCGACUAAUGUUGAAAAAUUAGCGGAUGACUUGUGGCUGGGGGUGAAAGGCCAAUCAAACCGGGAGAUAGCUGGUUCUCCCCGAAAGCUAUUUAGGUAGCGCCUCGUGAAUUCAUCUCCGGGGGUAGAGCACUGUUUCGGCAAGGGGGUCAUCCCGACUUACCAACCCGAUGCAAACUGCGAAUACCGGAGAAUGUUAUCACGGGAGACACACGGCGGGUGCUAACGUCCGUCGUGAAGAGGGAAACAACCCAGACCGCCAGCUAAGGUCCCAAAGUCAUGGUUAAGUGGGAAACGAUGUGGGAAGGCCCAGACAGCCAGGAUGUUGGCUUAGAAGCAGCCAUCAUUUAAAGAAAGCGUAAUAGCUCACUGGUCGAGUCGGCCUGCGCGGAAGAUGUAACGGGGCUAAACCAUGCACCGAAGCUGCGGCAGCGACACUAUGUGUUGUUGGGUAGGGGAGCGUUCUGUAAGCCUGUGAAGGUGGCCUGUGAGGGUUGCUGGAGGUAUCAGAAGUGCGAAUGCUGACAUAAGUAACGAUAAAGCGGGUGAAAAGCCCGCUCGCCGGAAGACCAAGGGUUCCUGUCCAACGUUAAUCGGGGCAGGGUGAGUCGACCCCUAAGGCGAGGCCGAAAGGCGUAGUCGAUGGGAAACAGGUUAAUAUUCCUGUACUUGGUGUUACUGCGAAGGGGGGACGGAGAAGGCUAUGUUGGCCGGGCGACGGUUGUCCCGGUUUAAGCGUGUAGGCUGGUUUUCCAGGCAAAUCCGGAAAACCAAGGCUGAGGCGUGAUGACGAGGCACUACGGUGCUGAAGCGACAAAUGCCCUGCUUCCAGGAAAAGCCUCUAAGCAUCAGGUAACAUCAAAUCGUACCCCAAACCGACACAGGUGGUCAGGUAGAGAAUACCAAGGCGCUUGAGAGAACUCGGGUGAAGGAACUAGGCAAAAUGGUGCCGUAACUUCGGGAGAAGGCACGCUGAUAUGUAGGUGAAGCGACUUGCUCGUGGAGCUGAAAUCAGUCGAAGAUACCAGCUGGCUGCAACUGUUUAUUAAAAACACAGCACUGUGCAAACACGAAAGUGGACGUAUACGGUGUGACGCCUGCCCGGUGCCGGAAGGUUAAUUGAUGGGGUUAGCGGUAACGCGAAGCUCUUGAUCGAAGCCCCGGUAAACGGCGGCCGUAACUAUAACGGUCCUAAGGUAGCGAAAUUCCUUGUCGGGUAAGUUCCGACCUGCACGAAUGGCGUAAUGAUGGCCAGGCUGUCUCCACCCGAGACUCAGUGAAAUUGAACUCGCUGUGAAGAUGCAGUGUACCCGCGGCAAGACGGAAAGACCCCGUGAACCUUUACUAUAGCUUGACACUGAACAUUGAGCCUUGAUGUGUAGGAUAGGUGGGAGGCUUUGAAGUGUGGACGCCAGUCUGCAUGGAGCCGACCUUGAAAUACCACCCUUUAAUGUUUGAUGUUCUAACGUUGGCCCGUAAUCCGGGUUGCGGACAGUGUCUGGUGGGUAGUUUGACUGGGGCGGUCUCCUCCUAAAGAGUAACGGAGGAGCACGAAGGUUGGCUAAUCCUGGUCGGACAUCAGGAGGUUAGUGCAAUGGCAUAAGCCAGCUUGACUGCGAGCGUGACGGCGCGAGCAGGUGCGAAAGCAGGUCAUAGUGAUCCGGUGGUUCUGAAUGGAAGGGCCAUCGCUCAACGGAUAAAAGGUACUCCGGGGAUAACAGGCUGAUACCGCCCAAGAGUUCAUAUCGACGGCGGUGUUUGGCACCUCGAUGUCGGCUCAUCACAUCCUGGGGCUGAAGUAGGUCCCAAGGGUAUGGCUGUUCGCCAUUUAAAGUGGUACGCGAGCUGGGUUUAGAACGUCGUGAGACAGUUCGGUCCCUAUCUGCCGUGGGCGCUGGAGAACUGAGGGGGGCUGCUCCUAGUACGAGAGGACCGGAGUGGACGCAUCACUGGUGUUCGGGUUGUCAUGCCAAUGGCACUGCCCGGUAGCUAAAUGCGGAAGAGAUAAGUGCUGAAAGCAUCUAAGCACGAAACUUGCCCCGAGAUGAGUUCUCCCUGAGACUUAGAGUCUCCUGAAGGAACGUUGAAGACGACGACGUUGAUAGGCCGGGUGUGUAAGCGCAGCGAUGCGUUGAGCUAACCGGUACUAAUGAACCGUGAGGCUUAACCUUACAACGCCGAAG